AACCAGCUCUUCGAGUGGUGUCCAUGAUUAUUGAGCUUAAAGCGUUCGUAGCCUGUUUGGUAGGUCCCUGCUUAAAUCCGGUCGCUCAACGGUCGGUCUGGUAGGGAUACCGCCUUACUUGGGGACGGGAGACGGUAACGGUAUUCCAUAGGUAAGGGUGAAAUCUAAUGAUCUAUGGAGGACCACCAGUGGCGAAGGCGGUUGCCGAGAACGUGCCCGACGGUGAGGGACGAAACCCAGGGGAGCAAAUCGGAUUAGAUACCCGAGUAGUCCUGGGCGUAAACGAUGCCCGUUAAGUGUUGCAUUGGCCACGAGCCACUGCGGUGCUGUAGCGAAAGCGAUAAACGGGCCGCUUGGGAAGUACGGUCGCAAGACUGAAACUUAAAGGAAUUGGACGUGGGAGCACCACGAAGGGGUGAGCUUGGCGGUUU
rnacentral:rRNA from 1 species